GGGGAAGCGGCCUUGUUGGGUUGGCCCCACCCUCCCUGUUCAGGAGUCUGGGAAGGGGACCUGGGAACUUCAAGAGAAACAAGCCUGGGAGACAAGGGGUGUCCCUGAGCAGGACUGAGGCCCCAGAGGCCCCAUUGGCAGCUCUGGGUUUGUGCCAGGCUUGGGGAACAAGGUCCAGGUCUCCUCUUUCUGCCCCAGUGAGACAGGCCCUCUCUGACAGCUGUCGCCAACCCAAACUCUGUCUCAGAACAUCAGCUAUGGACAAAACACCAGGCCCAUUCAGGGCUGCAGCAGGCAGUGAGCUGUGGCCUAGGUAUCUGCGACAACCCUUGGUCAGAACCCAGGAUUGAAGGGGUUAAGCUUGCAGGGGACAUCCGGAGGAGAGGUUCCAGACUACGGUGAGUCCACACCCGGGACUGCAUGAUGAUACCCAUCAUUGACUGCUGUCCACAAGAUAUCUGUGAAACAAGAACCCUCAGAAGAGACCACAGUUGUGCCAAGUUUGCUUUGCUACAUCACCACCCAUUUUUUAAAUGUGUCCUGAUUGGCUUGUCUCAGGGGACUAGAGACAGCUGCCCUCCCCUGCUGAGUCCCCAUUAUACUGCAAUGUGUUCUCAAGUGGCCAGGAGUGAGAUCCUUCAUAAAGCAGCCACGCUUAGUGAGUU